AACGAACGCUGGCGGCAGGCCUAACACAUGCAAGUCGAACGCUCCGCAAGGGGAGUGGCGCACGGGUGAGUAACACGUGGGAACCUACCUUCUGGUACGGAACAACCAAGGGAAACUUUGGCUAAGACCGUAUACGACCUCCGGGUGAAAGAUUGAUCGCCGGAAGAGGGGCCCGCGCCCGAUUAGGUAGUUGGUGAGGUAACGGCUCACCAAGCCUUCGAUCGGUAGCUGGUCUGAGAGGAUGACCAGCCACACUGGGACUGAGACACGGCCCAGACUCCUACGGGAGGCAGCAGUGGGGAAUAUUGGACAAUGGGCGCAAGCCUGAUCCAGCCAUGCCGCGUGAGUGAUGAAGGCC
rnacentral:rRNA from 1 species